CAGACAAGGGACUCCUCAGUGAACCUCAGAACUAUGAACAGUGCUAUCUGGUGACCUCUGUGCCUGGUGAGUGCCAGACCUGGGCCAGGCAGCUAAGGCUUCUCACUUUGGAGCACUGACAAUCAAGAGGAUGACAAGAAAGAGCAAUGCCCUCCAUUGAAAUGGAAACAAUCAUAAAAACAAAACAAGGUCCCUAGCUGCACUCAGAGCAGCAGAAGGUGCUCAGGCCUCUGUGGAUACUGCUGGGCACACCUGGGGAACUCCAGCCAAGAUCUCACAUUUUCAAACACAGUUGUCCCUCUCGCCCUGCCUCUGUGUGGUUGUCCUUUGCUCUCUGAUGUUAGUGGAAAAAUUAAAGUGUGUAAAAUAUUUUGAAGAGAUUUGUUUUCAUCCAGUGGGACUAACUGCAGCCCAGAGAAACAGAAACUCAAGAAACCCUGAGUAAGUAAUCCAGAGUCAUUUCAUCUGCUAAAAACAGGAAGCACUGAAUAUAGCAACAAUGAAGGCUAUCCAACCUUUUUUUUCCUGCUGCACAGUGGAAGAAUUGCUGUUUCGGGCCACACGUUAAGUACACAAACAGUAAUGAAAGCCGACAAGCAAAAAAGGAAAAAGGGUUCAAGCAUAAUUUUUGCGAUAUCUAACUCCACAGAUAAGCAAAACAGACCUCAGAUAAUCUGCAUAUGGCCAGUGGGCAACAGGUUGGACACCCCAAACGUUUUAACCGCUAAAUGGUAUCAGGGCCCCCCUGCUUUAGUCAUGGGCGGGGUUUGCUUCCUCAUUUGUAAAACAAUGAACCUAUCUCUUUCUUGCCACCGGAAAAUUGAAGUGGUCAACCUUCAACAGUGUGGUCCAGAAGGCUUUAACCGGUGAAAUGAUUUCUCGGCUUCGUAGUUUAAGGUACAAUGUACAUUUAUUCAGGUGACGGAUACACUAAAAGCCUUCACUUCCCCUCUACCCAGUAUAGUCAUGUAACAAGAUUACACUUGGACUCCAUAAAUUAAUAGAAAAAACUAUAUGACAUGUUUUUCCAAAGAAGAUGUUUCAGAAACCAACUGAAAUUGUACUUUAAAGACUCGAGGGAGACCCAGGGUGGUCGAACAACCACAUCCUCGAUGACCAUGAUGAGUUUCGUGAUGUACCAGCCAGUCUCUGGGGAACUGUGUCCUCCGCUCUUGGAUUUCCUCCUGUUGGGCCCAUUGCAACUGCCUUUCUGAGAAGGCUGGCUAGUCUGCAAGCAAAUAAACAGACUUAAUAUAGAAGGCAUUGUAGUCCUCUGUGCCUGGCUCUGUGGUGGCUUCUGUCUAUUUCCUCUGAGCUCAGGGUCUGACAUGGAGACCCAGAGGAGGGAAAAUGUCUCAGGGUUGAAAAAGCCCAGGCACUGGGGUGGUAGAGGUGUCCAUGAGGGUCUCAGGUACCACAGGGCUGCCUGUGAGGGUUGACCAACAGGAAGAGAAAGCCUUCAAAGGCUGAAAUUCUGCACUGAAGAGCCCAGGGGGCUUGGGGAGCCGCCUGUCUGGGAAGGGAAGCUGGAGCUGGGAGCUGUGCACACUUCAGUGACCUCAAAGCACAUUUUCUGAGUGGAAGGAGCUAUCUCAAACAGGACCCGAGGAUACUGGCCCCCUGGAGGUCACAGGUGGGCUCCUCUGCAAGGCUGGCACUUGGGACCACACACAGCUGCUUCAGUAAAUGAUCUAUUCACACAACUGAGAGUCUGGCUAAAGGCGAAGGAGAUGGAAUUCACUCUUUUCACGUAUGAACGAUAUGGUCUCAGACAUUUUGCUAGAAAAACUGGUUGAUUUUCUCAUAUCUAAGAUGAUAAAAUUCCCAACGGAGGGAACGUAUGUGAGAGAAACGAUGACAGUCUUAAAGAAGAUGGCUAAAAUUCUAAUCAAGGAAGUGCUGAUAGCUGUACUGGAAAAAACACGUUCAUUUUUAUACAACCAGUUGUAUGAUAAAUGGGUCAAAAAAAUCAUGACGUAUUUUUUAAAAAAGAAGAUGGAUCACCAACUGGAACAAUUCCAGUUGCCUCCAGCCAGACCCCCGAGGGAAUGUCUCGGCCAGUCCUGCAUUUGUGGGGAGGAGUCUAGCAACACUCAGCUGCUCCAUAAAGUUUGUGAGGACACUACAUUAAGGGCAUGGAAGGGAGGCCUGUGCACUUAUGGAAAUCCUCACUUCUGUGGGGAUACUGCGGAAAACUCCUCUGCAAGGCUGGCACUUGGGACGGGACACAGCUGCUUCAGUAAAUGACCUAUUCACACAACUGAGAGUCUGGCUAAAGGUGAUGGAGAUGGUAUGUUUCAAUUUGCCUUUUUCUUUUUCCAUUUAUCUUCAUUUUUUCCCCACUUUUUCACUCCUUUGUCUAUUUCUAACCAUCUCUAACCUAAAUUUCUGCAAAGCUAUCAGCUUGGCUUUUAACAUAUAUGAAAAAAAUGUAAACGAUUUUACCCCCAAAUAUAUGUCCUUGAGGUAUUUUGAGAUCACUACCAUGAGACUCACAGAUAGAAAUGACACUGUUCAGCUGCUUUUUGUGGGAGAAAAUUACAUCUGUAGAAACAGCAGCCAGGCCUGUCAUUUCCUGACAGGAUGAACUCACAGGCUCGGCGCCCGUAGCUCAGUGUUUAGGGUGCUGGCCGUAGUCACCACGGCUGGCAGGGUAGAACCCUGCCCGGGCCCACUAAAACAACAACCACAACUGCAACAAAGAAAAUAUUGGCUGUUGUGGUGGGUACUGGUAAUCCUUGCUCUUUGGGAGGCUGAGGCAAGAGAAUCACUUAAGCCCAACAGUUUGAGGUUGCUGUGAGCUGUGACGCUACAGCACUCUACAAAGGGCAACAUAAUGAGAUUCUGUCUCAAAAAUAAAUAAAUAAAUAAAAAGAUGAACUCACAGUUCGACACCUUUAGAAGCAUUAAAAGAAACAUUUGUCAUGUCUCAGAGCUGCUGCCUCUGAGGCUCCCUUUACAUGACAUGACCAUGUUUUACUAAUUAUCAAGCUGCUUCCUCUGACCCGCCUCAAACCUGUUUUUCUGUUUUUCAAUCCAUUCUGUAAAAUCCUCUGUACCUCAUGGAUUUUUCUGACAGGUCCUGUGUUAUAUAAAUUUGAUAACUUUUCUCUUGCUAAUUUGCUUUAUUGACAGUUGCACUUUCAGUGAACCUUCUGAGGAAAGGAGAGAGGAAAACUUCUGGCACAGCACAGUGAACAGGGUGACCACAGCCACGCUGCUCCCCGGCAGGCCACAGCAAAGGGAACCCAGGGUCCGAUAAAGCCAGCAAAAUGGUGUAAUGAAGAGAAAUUUUGUUUAUGAGCAAAGAGAACACUUAGAACACUUCGAAAGAGAGUUGGAAGUGGGUGCUUCAUCAUGAAUGAGAAGAGAGGAGAGAAACAGGGAAUUAUGUUUUCAGUGAACCCUCUGACAUUUGGCAUGGUAAACAGGGUGAUCAAAGCCAAAUGCUGCUCUCCUGGAGGCCACAGCAAAGGCCAGCCAUGGCCUGAAAAGCUGGCAAAAUGGUUGGAACCAUAGAGGAUAUCUCAGAGAAGAAAAAGAAGGCUCCUGGGCGGCGCCUGUGGCUCAAGGAGUAGGGCACCGGUCCCAUAUGCCUGAGGUGGCGGGUUCAAACCCAGCCCCGGCCAAAAACCACAAAAAGAAAAAGAA